rnacentral:RNase_P_RNA from 1 species
GUGGUCGAUGACCGCUGGUCCCGCGAAUGCGGGAUCAGAGGAAAGUCCGAACACAUGAAGGCAGCAUGCCGCACGAAAGCGCGGGCAACCGACGGCGAAAGCUGCGGUUGACGGAUAGUGUCACAGAAAAAUAAACCGUCCCGCGUAUGCGGGAUAAGGGUGAAAAGGCGGGGUAAGAGCCCACCGGUUGUUUCCGUAAGGAGCAACGCUUGAAAAACCCCUUGCAGUGCAAGACAGAACAGAGAGUUAGACGCCUUCCUACUCGGCUUUGCCGAGGGCUCUCGGGUAAUAGUCGCAUCCCGGAAGACGGGACGCCUUAUAUAUAAAGUAUAAGGUGAGACAAAUGGUCAUCCGGGCGGUUUCUUCUAGGAGAGAUCGUCUAGACAGAAUUCGGCUUACGCCACAAAA